UACAGAGGUCUCAAGCGUUGUUCGGAUUCAUUGGGCGUAAAGGGUGCGUAGGUGGCGCCGUAAGUCGGAUGUGAAAUUUCGGAGCUUAACUCCGAAACUGUAUUCGAUACUGGCGGGCUUGAGACCGGGAGAGGAGGGUGGAAUACCCAGUGUAGAGGUGAAAUUCGUAGAUAUUGGGUGGAACACCGGUGGCGAAAGCGGCUCUCUGGGCCUUACCUGACGCUGAGGAGCGAAAGCGUGGGGAGCGAACAGG
rnacentral:rRNA from 1 species